CUUUAUUUAGAUCAGAAUCGAGUUAAUUUACCCUGUGUUCAAAUCCUUAACUUUUUAACUUUUUUUGCAUUUAGAGUUAGCUUUAAAAUCCUAUGUGUGAUUUGAUUAAUGAGAAAUAUUUUUGAAGCAAACAACCAUAAAUACGGCAAUUUAAAAUAAAUAAAAUCGGGGACUGUCGACCUUACUCUAAAUUCUCUGAUAAGAAAAAUAACAGCCAUAUACUUUAAGUUUUUACAUACGACUUUUACUGUUUGAGUACCUAGGUUCUAUUCUAGUUUCUUGGUGGUUUAGUUCUUUUUUUUUCUGAAGGAAAAUUUGUAAUAUAGAACUAAUAAAUUCGUGCUUCAGAUUGAGGUUAAUAAUCUAUCAAUUUAUGACAAAGUA
rnacentral:rRNA from 1 species